rnacentral:other from 1 species
UAAACCCUGCGAUGUUGGUGUGAGGUUGCCUGGUUUGAGCCUACAAUCGUGAACCCGGGAAUCCGUGGUCACCCCCCGACUAAAUACGUCGGGGGGGCAGGAUACCCACUUAUAUCAUUGGUGUUCAAAACUGGACUAUCUCCACGGCAUUGGCAGGGUUUUU